rnacentral:rRNA from 1 species
AUUGAACGCUGGCGGCAUGCCUAACACAUGCAAGUCGAACGAGUGGCGGACGGGUGAGUAACGUCUGGGAACCUGCCUGAUGGGGGGGGAUAACUACUGGAAAGGGUAGCUAAUCCCGCAUAGCAUCGGAGGUGGCCAGAUGGGAUUAGCUAGUAGGUGGGGUAAAGGCGCACCUAGGCGACGAUCCCUAGCGGGUCUGAGAGGAUGACCAGCCACACUGGAACUGAGACACGGUCCAGCUUCCUACGGGAGGCAGCAUUGGGGAAUAUUGCACAAUGGGGGCAAGCCUGAUGCAGCCAUGCCGCGUGUAUGAAGAGGGCCUUCGGGUUGUAAAGUACUUUCAGCGGGGAGGCGGUACCUGCAGAAGAAGCACCGGCUAACUCCGUGCCAGCAGCCGCGGUAAUAC